rfam:[Candida] intermedia strain CBS 141442 genome assembly, chromosome: III
GCCCGAGUGGCCUAAUUGGUUAAGGUACUGUCCUCCGGAGACAGUGAUUGCGGGUUCGAGUCCCGCCUUGGGCU